GGGUUGUGAGGUUAAGCGACCAAGCGUACACGGUGGAUGCCCUGGCAGUCAGAGGCGAUGAAGGACGUGCUAAUCUGCGAUAAGCGCCGGUAAGGUGAUAUGAACCGUUAUAACCGGCGAUUUCCGAAUGGGGAAACCCAGUGUGAUUCGUCACACUAUCAUUAACUGAAUCCAUAGGUUAAUGAAGCGAACCGGGGGAACUGAAACAUCUAAGUACCCCGAGGAAAAGAAAUCAACCGAGAUUCCCCCAGUAGCGGCGAGCGAACGGGGAGGAGCCCAGAGCCUGAAUCAGCAUGUGUGUUAGUGGAAGCGUCUGGAAAGGCGCGCGAUACAGGGUGACAGCCCCGUACACAAAAGCGCAUGUGCUGUGAGCUCGAUGAGUAGGGCGGGACACGUGGUAUCCUGUCUGAAUAUGGGGGGACCAUCCUCCAAGGCUAAAUACUCCUGACUGACCGAUAGUGAACCAGUACCGUGAGGGAAAGGCGAAAAGAACCCCGGCGAGGGGAGUGAAACAGAACCUGAAACCGUGUACGUACAAGCAGUGGGAGCACAGGUUUACCUGUGUGACUGCGUACCUUUUGUAUAAUGGGUCAGCGACUUAUAUUCUGUAGCAAGGUUAACCGCAUAGGGGAGCCGAAGGGAAACCGAGUCUUAAUUGGGCGUUAAGUUGCAGGGUAUAGACCCGAAACCCGGUGAUCUAGCCAUGGGCAGGUUGAAGGUUGGGUAACACUAACUGGAGGACCGAACCGACUAAUGUUGAAAAAUUAGCGGAUGACCUGUGGCUGGGGGUGAAAGGCCAAUCAAACCGGGAGAUAGCUGGUUCUCCCCGAAAGCUAUUUAGGUAGCGCCUCGUGAACUCAUCUCCGGGGGUAGAGCACUGUUUCGGCUAGGGGGCCAUCCCGGCUUACCAACCCGAUGCAAACUGCGAAUACCGGAGAAUGUUAUCACGGGAGACACACGGCGGGUGCUAACGUCCGUCGUGAAGAGGGAAACAACCCAGACCGCCAGCUAAGGUCCCAAAGUCAUGGUUAAGUGGGAAACGAUGUGGGAAGGCCCAGACAGCCAGGAUGUUGGCUUAGAAGCAGCCAUCAUUUAAAGAAAGCGUAAUAGCUCACUGGUCGAGUCGGCCUGCGCGGAAGAUGUAACGGGGCUAAACCAUGCACCGAAGCUGCGGCAGCGACGCUUAUGCGUUGUUGGGUAGGGGAGCGUUCUGUAAGCCGUUGAAGGUGGCCUGUGAGGGUUGCUGGAGGUAUCAGAAGUGCGAAUGCUGACAUAAGUAACGAUAAAGCGGGUGAAAAGCCCGCUCGCCGGAAGACCAAGGGUUCCUGUCCAACGUUAAUCGGGGCAGGGUGAGUCGACCCCUAAGGCGAGGCCGAAAGGCGUAGUCGAUGGGAAACGGGUUAAUAUUCCCGUACUUGGUGUUACUGCGAAGGGGGGACGGAGAAGGCUAUGUUGGCCGGGCGACGGUUGUCCCGGUUUAAGCGUGUAGGCUGACUUUCCAGGCAAAUCCGGAGAGUCAAGGCUGAGGCGUGACGACGAGGCACCACGGUGCUGAAGCAACAAAUGCCCUGCUUCCAGGAAAAGCCUCUAAGCAUCAGGUAACAUCAAAUCGUACCCCAAACCGACACAGGUGGUCAGGUAGAGAAUACCAAGGCGCUUGAGAGAACUCGGGUGAAGGAACUAGGCAAAAUGGUGCCGUAACUUCGGGAGAAGGCACGCUGACAUGUAGGUGAAGUGGUUUACCCAUGGAGCUGAAGUCAGUCGAAGAUACCAGCUGGCUGCAACUGUUUAUUAAAAACACAGCACUGUGCAAACACGAAAGUGGACGUAUACGGUGUGACGCCUGCCCGGUGCCGGAAGGUUAAUUGAUGGGGUCAGCGCAAGCGAAGCUCCUGAUCGAAGCCCCGGUAAACGGCGGCCGUAACUAUAACGGUCCUAAGGUAGCGAAAUUCCUUGUCGGGUAAGUUCCGACCUGCACGAAUGGCGUAAUGAUGGCCAGGCUGUCUCCACCCGAGACUCAGUGAAAUUGAACUCGCUGUGAAGAUGCAGUGUACCCGCGGCAAGACGGAAAGACCCCGUGAACCUUUACUAUAGCUUGACACUGAACAUUGAGCCUUGAUGUGUAGGAUAGGUGGGAGGCUUUGAAGCGUGGACGCCAGUCUGCGUGGAGCCGGCCUUGAAAUACCACCCUUUAAUGUUUGAUGUUCUAACGUGGACCCGUGAUCCGGGUUGCGGACAGUGUCUGGUGGGUAGUUUGACUGGGGCGGUCUCCUCCUAAAGAGUAACGGAGGAGCACGAAGGUUGGCUAAUCCUGGUCGGACAUCAGGAGGUUAGUGCAAUGGCAUAAGCCAGCUUGACUGCGAGCGUGACGGCGCGAGCAGGUGCGAAAGCAGGUCAUAGUGAUCCGGUGGUUCUGAAUGGAAGGGCCAUCGCUCAACGGAUAAAAGGUACUCCGGGGAUAACAGGCUGAUACCGCCCAAGAGUUCAUAUCGACGGCGGUGUUUGGCACCUCGAUGUCGGCUCAUCACAUCCUGGGGCUGAAGUAGGUCCCAAGGGUAUGGCUGUUCGCCAUUUAAAGUGGUACGCGAGCUGGGUUUAGAACGUCGUGAGACAGUUCGGUCCCUAUCUGCCGUGGGCGCUGGAGAACUGAGGGGGGCUGCUCCUAGUACGAGAGGACCGGAGUGGACGCAUCACUGGUGUUCGGGUUGUCAUGCCAAUGGCACUGCCCGGUAGCUAAAUGCGGAAGAGAUAAGUGCUGAAAGCAUCUAAGCACGAAACUUGCCCCGAGAUGAGUUCUCCCUGAGACUUUAAGUCUCCUGAAGGAACGUUGAAGACGAUGACGUUGAUAGGCCGGGUGUGUAAGCGCAGCGAUGCGUUGAGCUAACCGGUACUAAUGAACCGUGAGGCUUAACCUUACAACGCCGAAG
rnacentral:rRNA from 2 species